AAUUGUGAUAAAUAUAAGAAAUUUAUUUUAAUUUUUCUAAAAAGACAAAUUUCUAUGUAUGUGUAUUUAUCUAUUUCGUAGUGUGGUGCUUUGGAAAAAAUCUGUCCAUGAUUUCUUACAUUGCAAGUUGUUUUAGUUAGGGAUUUCUCAUCAAUUUUUUGUUAAAAUUAUAGACUGAAAUUAUCUUUGAAAUAAAAUGAAUCAAUACAAAAUGAUUCAUGAAGAACUAAAUUCAUUUAUAUUCAAACUUUAUGUUUUCAGUUGUAAAUUUGCUGUAUAAUAUUUAAAAACUGCAUGCACAUUGAAGAAUAUUUUAAAUUUACCAUAUAUUUUGUGUUAGAAAAAGUUCUGUGUCUUUUUAAGUGUCAAAUAUGAGUUUUGAAAAUCAAAUUGAAAUAAAAAUGAAAACAUCAUCAUUUUCAUAAAAAAAUCAGAGGAAUCAACAAAUCAUAACAAACUCAAGAGGUGGCACUUAGCAUUUGCAACAAAUAUUUCUGUGUACAAAUUUCAAUAUAAAAUCAAGAUUUGCCUGAAAGCUGACAAAUAUUAAACAGAUAAAUUGAAGUUAAUGCACAUUUUAUCUUCAUAAUUUAUUGAAAAAGGUCAGAUUUGAUUGCUUGUACAAAAUUAAAGUAGAUUGGAAAUAUGCUUUUAGACUCGACACUUUACAAUCUCAUUGAAGAUAUAAUAAAAGUAUUACAUGUUUUAUGCAAUAGUAAACAAAAUAAUUAUGGUGCUCACAAAUUGGCACUCACAUGUUUCAUACUUUUGUCAAUUGCAUGUGUGAUAAAGAAAUUAUUUGACCAUGAUUUGUUGUAAAGAUAGCCGUGCAUCCACAAUGCAAGUAUGAUUUCAAAAACUUUAUUUACUUAUUUAUUUACUUAUUUUGUUGAGAACAAUGUUAUAUUACAAUACAAUACAAUACAAAACUCUGUGUUCUUUGAAAAGAUGUUGAUUUCUGAUUUUUAUACACCCACUGUAUUGAAGCUUAC
rnacentral:lncRNA from 1 species